AUACUUACCUGGACGGGGUCGAUGGCCGAUCAAGAAGGGUCAUGGUCUAGGCUAGUGGCCUUCAUUGCACUUGGAAGGAGUACUAGCCUACCAUCUCCCCAAGUGGGAGAGUGGAUGUCAUAAUUUGUGGUAGAGGGGUACGCGUUCGCGCGGCCCCUAU